GACGAACGCUGGCGGCGUGCUUAACACAUGCAAGUCGAACGGUGAAGCGCUUUCCUUUUUGGUUGGUGUGGAUGAGUGGCGAACGGGUGAGUAACACGUGAGUAACCUGCCCCCUUCUUCUGGAUAACCGCAUGAAAGUGUGGCUAAUACGGGAUAUUCUGCGCCUGCUGCAUGGUGGGUGUGGGAAAGAUUGUGCCUUUGGGUGUUUUCGGUGGGGGAUGGGCUCGCGGCCUAUCAGCUUGUUGGUGGGGUGAUGGCCUACCAAGGCGGUGACGGGUAGCCGGGGUGGGGGGGGGGGCGGUAACAGUGGGACGGGGACAGGGCCCAAACUCCAACGGGAGGAGGCGGGGGGGAAAAUUACACAGGGGGCGCAAGCCUGAGGCAGGGCCCCCGGGUGAGGGAGGGGGGCCUUGGGGUUGUGACCCUUUUUCGCCAGGGAAGCAGGCCUGCUCUUUGGGGGGGGGUGGACGGUAGUUGGAAAAAAAGCGCCGGCUAACUACGG
rnacentral:rRNA from 1 species